rnacentral:rRNA from 1 species
CCUACGGGAGGCAGCAGUGGGGAAUAUUGCACAAUGGGGGAAACCCUGAUGCAGCAACGCCGCGUGUGUGAAGGAGCGUUUCGGCGCGUAAAGCCCUGUCAUCGGGGACGAAGAAAGACGGUACCCGACCUAGAAGCCCCGGCUAACCACGGGCCAGCAGCCGCGGUAAUACGGAGGGGGCGAGCGUUAUUCGGAAUUACUGGGUGUAAAGGGAGCGUAGGCGGCGAGGUAAGACUGAAGUGGUAGCCCCGGGCCCAACCGGGGAACUGCUUUGGGGACUGUUUUGCUGGAGUAUGGGAGGGGUAAGCGGAAUUCCUGGUGUAGCAGUGAAAUGCGUAGAUAUCAGGAAGAACACCGGUGGCGAAGGCGGCUUACUGGACCAUAACUGACGUUGAGGCACGAAAGCGUGGGGAGCGAACAGGAUUAGAUACCCUAGUAGUC